ACUACUUACCCACAGCACAGAUUUCUGUCCUGGAGGAAAACAAGUAGUGGUCUGAGUUAGCAGAAGGUCAGCUUCUACAUCUGCUACCAUCAUCCUCAAUGACCUUGGGCAAGUUCUGUAAUCUGCCGUGCCUUGGUUCACCAGCUGCCUAAAAGACAGAGGAAGGAAACAUCCAGCUCCUUGCCUUUGCCUCUCAUAUGUUCGGAGAAGAAGCUGUCUUGUGCAGAGAUCAGCUGUUGCUUCAGGUGGUGAAGGUCUGACUUCAGCAAGCUCUAGGAGCAACUUAAUGUAAAUAAUAGUAGUAACAACACUAACCCUCCGUAUACUUUGUAGCAUGCUUACACAAGCCAACAUCUGUGUGUGUUUAGAUAAGUCGUGAGCAGGAGUAUCUGGGCUGUGCCUGAGCUGCUGUGAUCAGUCACCGUGCAGCGCGGUGUCGCCGCUGGCUUGUGCCGGUGCCAGUAGGUGUGGGUGUGAACGCUGCGCUGCGUACCGCCGUCUCUGGAUUUAGCAUCUGCUGUUGGCACGCACGUCUCCCUUCUUUAUGAAUGAGUGGGUGAGGGACGAGCUGCCUCCCUCACAGCUGUACCGUAAGGAGCACGGGAGCUGAAACACAAUCUCCUGCUGCUGCUGCUGCUGCUGCUGCUGCUGCUGCUGCUCCCGGCGCCUGGCUGGCAGCUGGGAGGAGGGCAGCCCCGGCGGCAGCCCGAGCCACCACCGGGACAGUGCAAGUUUUGCGCUGUUCACGCUGCAGGGAAAGCCUCGAUGUGCAAACUCUCCUCGCAGCGAGACAAGGAGAAACGGCUGCCCAGAGGCUCACAAGACAGGACAGUGUCAUUCUGAGCGUUACGGGACGUUCUGAGCAGUGCGUUAAUCAGCUCCCUCCGUGACAUUUUCCACAUUAGCAGCCUGGAUUCACACGGGCUCCAGGACGGUGUCACAUCUGACCACUUCUUCUUUCAAGUUUGCUCUACUUAAGAAGCCAGUAAGUGAAUCAAGAAUCAAGCCUGUGUUUUUAAUGCCUGC
rnacentral:lncRNA from 1 species